CGCAGUCCCCUGCAGAGACACACACAGCUUUUCUCACUGUUCCUCUUCCAGUUAUUUCCCUCUUUGUUUCUUUCUCUCUCCAGGGGGCUUGCUUUAUGCUGCGCCGCCUUAGGUGACUGGCUGGCUGUGUAUGGUCUAGCCAUCAGACUGUACCUUUUCCUGGAACUCGAGCCUUUUACGCUUUCCAGCAGGGUGAAUGUUAAACGCAAAUAUUUAAAACAGUCUCUUGGACGCAUCGGGAACAAUUUGAUGAUCGGGCUGAUACUGCUGAAGACAGGGAGAGCUUCUGACUCACAGUGCCCAUUCCUGGCGGUUCUGUUGCAGAGAUGGAUCUGGACCUAAACUAGACCUGUGCCUUCAGCUCCCACCAAGCUUUGGAGUGGUUCGGCUACUGCUUCUGACCUCAUCCUUCUCUCUAACCAAGGGCUCAACCAGAACGCUGAAUCCAACCCAACCCAGCUUCAGAGACAUUUGGAUUCUGGCUCCAAUCUUCAUGACUCACCUCAGACCACUGUGAGGUAAAUCAGAAUUAUUAUCCCCGCUGGGGAAACUGAGGCACGCGGCAAUUAACUGACCUGCCCAAGGCCAUGUGGGUGGGCAGUCUGUGGUGGAGUUGGAUGGAACCAAGGAAUCCUAAUUUCCAGGCCUCGGCAUUAACCACCAGAGCAUGAUUCAUCUUCCUAUCUGGGAUGGAGAACAAUGAUUGUUUGAUUUAUUAAGUAUCCACCAGCAGCGCCGGGUUCCCUGAGCAGUGAUGAGAACAGAUUAAAAUACAAUAAAGACGUAGCAGCACAGAUGUUCUUCCA
rnacentral:lncRNA from 1 species